rnacentral:sRNA from 1 species
GCCAGGAGUGGUGGCGCACACCUGUAAUCCCAAUGAUUCGGGAGGUUGAGGUAGGAGGAUCGAAAGUUCAAGGCCAGCCUCAGCAAAAGCGAGGCACUUAGCAACUCAGUGAGACCUUGUCUCUA